AAGUUUUAUUCUUGCUUGUUUAUUUGCUUUAAAAUUAUUUUAUAUGUAAGUUUUUACGUGAGUUAUGUAUCGAUAUAUCUAGAUGAUUAUUUAUUUUUUUUUAUUUUUCGCAGUAAUGAAUUUUAUAAAUUUAUGUGAAUUUGAUUUGGUAAUUUUUAUUUAUUAUUGGUAAAAUUUGUGCCAGCAUCCGCGGUUAUACAAUGAAUAUUAGUGAAUAUUUUUGGUUAAAGUAGUUAAAAUUUUAAUAUUUGAAGUUAUUAUUUUGUUUUUAGGUGAAAUUUUAAUUUUUAUUAUAACUUUAUAUUUUUGAAGCUAUAAAAUCUUUAAUUUUAAACUAGGAUUAGAUACCCUAUUAUUUUAGAUAUAAAUUAUUUUAACCUAGGUAGUAUUAGUUAAGGUCUUGAAACUUAAAGAAUUUGGCGGUAUUUUAAUCUAUUUAGAGGAAUCUGUCCCUUAAUCGAUAAUCCACGUUUUACCUUACCAAAUUUAUUGUAUGUAUACCGCCGUUAUAAUGAGGAUCUUUUUAGAGUUAAAGUUAAUUUUCUUAAUUUGUUUUUAAAAUUUAUUUCAGGUCAAGGUGCAGCUUAUGAUUUGGUGGAGAUGGAUUACAUUUAUAUUUAUUAUUGAAUUAUUUAUUGGAAUUUUAAUAUGAAAUUGGAUUUAAUUGUAAUUUUUUGAAGAUUAUAAAGAUGAUAUUAGCUCUAGAAUAUGUACACAUCGCCCGUCGCUCUCAUUAUUAAUUAGUUGAGAUAAGUCGUAACAUAGUGGUUGUACCGGAAGGUGUAGCUGGAAUGAAUAAUA
rnacentral:ncRNA from 1 species